GUGGAUGCUGUGCUUAGUCAUCCUGGCGCUUUUAAAGACGAAUGAAGGAUUACCCGGGAUGUAGAGCCAGGAGUGAGAAGGAUAAAUAACACCAAGAAGCUGAUCGCUGCCCGUCUGUCAUAAAAUUUCAUUAGCUCUGACAGUCUGUACAACAUAAGCAACGAAUGAAUGCUAACGAUGCUUCCUCUCCGUCUGCUUCCACAUCUCACUUGUGCUGAUUUGCUCGGAGGAAGAACUGCCCAGAGAAACCUGGAGGAUGAAGGGACUUCUUGCAGGACUGGGAUCGCACAUGGAGCAGAACCAUGGAGGGGAUACCUCCAUUAGAGCUCCUUGCUGAGAGUGUUUCUUGACUGGGAAGGACAGAUGCUGAUCUGUGGAGUACCCAAGGGGAUGGCUUUGCUCCCAGUGAAGGGGCUGAGAACUGUUCAAGUCUUCAAAGGUGGUUCUUCUGCUGGGGUAACACUUCCUUCUAUUAGAAAACAGUGGGUGAAUGAAGUCAGACAGAGAGUGAUCAGGAUCCCUGCAGUACUUGGGUUUUAGGCGGUACAUUUCUACUUCCUUGAUUUGUACCAGCGCUGCUGUUCCAAUGUCCUGACCCACAUCACUGACAUUUCAACUGGAAGCCAGCAACGGUGGCCUCAUGACUUGGCUGAAAUAUCCCUCAGCUCCUGCCCUGGGCUAUCAGAACUGUUCUUCAUUUAGGGGCAUGUAGGCAGCUGAAACAAGUUAGGGUUCUCCCACCUACAGCCAUAUGCUGGAGCCUCUACUGCCCUUUUCAUCUUUAAGUCGUAGGUAAUGAAAAUAAAUAUCAGGAGGUCUGUAAUAAUGACAUGGAAUGGGAUGUUUUGAUCAUAUUAAUUGCUCAGGCUGUUGCAAUACAGGAUCACAAAUCAAUGUUUCCCCAGUGGCUGGCUCAGACUCCCGGUGCACGUUUAAACAGAUGUGACCUUGAUGAGGAGAGAUACUGGGGGCUUGAGGCAAGCUUGCAAGACAGAUGAAUGUGCUCUGGCAGAUUUAUGAGGAGUUAUUCCUCAAUGCAGAAAAGUCUAUCUUUUUUUCACCUAAAUGCUCCUCCAAAAGUGACUCUUCCUGUGUACAAAACACAAGCAAUCUGCAAAGCAAGUGACAAUGUCAGGAGGUCUUUAAGGAAAAAUGUUUCCACGGGGCUGGAGCACAGAGGCAGCAAAGUGAAAACAGAGGUGUGAUUCAUUCAGAACGAGGUGUCCUCAUUCAUUUAUAGCAGUUUGCUCUCCACGUAAAGGAUAUCCUGCUCGGACAAUGUGGGCACUUUCUUGUAAUCUGUCCCUGCAUCACAAGAGAUCUUGGAUUUCUUCCUGUGCAACUGAGUCUCUUUCAUUUAGUGUCACCUCCCGUCAUGCCAAGAAAACCCACAGCAGCCAGUAGGGUUGAAAGAGGUGUCUGUAAACACAUGUUUACUGAGACCACUGGUAAACCAGCCUCUGAGUCAUCCCUCCUCACGCUGUGUGUUUCAAUUCUUCCUCCUCUCAGGCAAUAACAUCAGGCUUUCACAAGUUCCUGAUGAAAGUAGGGACUGAAUGCCCCAGGACUGUGUGUGCAUGAUGGAGAACAAGAUGGAGACAGAAGGUUUGCUUGGGGCUGGAAGAACAUGUUUUGCCUCUGCAGCCUUAUGAAAACAGCUGAAGUAAAUUAGUAAGUACUAAUAGCAGCUAGGCCUAACAAUGAUAGGCUUGUUAGCAUAUUUAAAACCUCUUAAUUGGCAUCACAGCUGCUGGUGUGUGGGACGUCCAGGAGCCCAUCUGGGCCCAAGGCUCUGGAGGUAAACUUGUUGAGUUUCAGAGGUCCAAGUGCUGAACGGGGCACGUCCUGCCCCAUCCAACCUAGAAUCACUGCCUCUGGGAGCCUUCUGCAGCUGCUUCUCACAUUGCCACAGUCAAUUGCUGGAUUUAGACCUGGGAUGACUUUGGGAUAGCCUCCUCAAGUUCAGUAUCGACGUGUUCUCAUUAGCAUUAGGGAUCAUCAUGACCACCUAAUCUCAUUCCUAACCUGCGGGAGUUACUCCUGUUUGAACCACAGCAUGGAAAAGCAUCCCAUCCUGACCUCAGAACUUCUAGUGAUGGAAAAAUCUGCCGUAACUUUUCUUUCAGACCACCUGAAGGGAGCAGCUCUAAAUGCUUCAGGGCGUGUGGUUGAAUAGACUCCUCAACUACCAAGAUGGAGAAGCUGAAGUGGAUCACACUGGUCAGCAAAUGUGACCAGAAGGAAUCUGACACAACCAACCCUUCCUUUGCAAUCAACGUGGGAUCCAAAACAAACCUUCGGCGCUCUCGGCAUCGCUGCCCAGGGAACCAGGCAUCCUGCAAAUAAACACUGAAUUGCAAAUCUGUGGUGAGUU
ensembl:lncRNA